CAUAGGUUAAUGAGGCGAACCGGGGGAACUGAAACAUCUAAGUACCCCGAGGAAAAGAAAUCAACCGAGAUUCCCCCAGUAGCGGCGAGCGAACGGGGAGCAGCCCAGAGCCUGAAUCAGUGUGUGUGUUAGUGGAAGCGUCUGGAAAGGCGCGCGAUACAGGGUGACAGCCCCGUACACAAAAAUGCACAUACUGUGAGCUCGAUGAGUAGGGCGGGACACGUGGUAUCCUGUCUGAAUAUGGGGGGACCAUCCUCCAAGGCUAAAUACUCCUGACUGACCGAUAGUGAACCAGUACCGUGAGGGAAAGGCGAAAAGAACCCCGGCGAGGGGAGUGAAAAAGAACCUGAAACCGUGUACGUACAAGCAGUGGGAGCCUCUUUAUGGGGUGACUGCGUACCUUUUGUAUAAUGGGUCAGCGACUUAUAUUCUGUAGCAAGGUUAACCGAAUAGGGGAGCCGAAGGGAAACCGAGUCUUAACUGGGCGUUAAGUUGCAGGGUAUAGACCCGAAACCCGGUGAUCUAGCCAUGGGCAGGUUGAAGGUUGGGUAACACUAACUGGAGGACCGAACCGACUAAUGUUGAAAAAUUAGCGGAUGACUUGUGGCUGGGGGUGAAAGGCCAAUCAAACCGGGAGAUAGCUGGUUCUCCCCGAAAGCUAUUUAGGUAGCGCCUCGUGAAUUCAUCUCCGGGGGUAGAGCACUGUUUCGGCAAGGGGGUCAUCCCGACUUACCAACCCGAUGCAAACUGCGAAUACCGGAGAAUGUUAUCACGGGAGACACACGGCGGGUGCUAACGUCCGUCGUGAAGAGGGAAACAACCCAGACCGCCAGCUAAGGUCCCAAAGUCAUGGUUAAGUGGGAAACGAUGUGGGAAGGCCCAGACAGCCAGGAUGUUGGCUUAGAAGCAGCCAUCAUUUAAAGAAAGCGUAAUAGCUCACUGGUCGAGUCGGCCUGCGCGGAAGAUGUAACGGGGCUAAACCAUGCACCGAAGCUGCGGCAGCGACACUAUGUGUUGUUGGGUAGGGGAGCGUUCUGUAAGCCUGUGAAGGUGUGCUGUGAGGUAUGCUGGAGGUAUCAGAAGUGCGAAUGCUGACAUAAGUAACGAUAAAGCGGGUGAAAAGCCCGCUCGCCGGAAGACCAAGGGUUCCUGUCCAACGUUAAUCGGGGCAGGGUGAGUCGACCCCUAAGGCGAGGCCGAAAGGCGUAGUCGAUGGGAAACAGGUUAAUAUUCCUGUACUUGGUGUUACUGCGAAGGGGGGACGGAGAAGGCUAUGUUGGCCGGGCGACGGUUGUCCCGGUUUAAGCGUGUAGGCUGGUUUUCCAGGCAAAUCCGGAAAAUCAAGGCUGAGGCGUGAUGACGAGGCACUACGGUGCUGAAGCAACAAAUGCCCUGCUUCCAGGAAAAGCCUCUAAGCAUCAGGUAACAUCAAAUCGUACCCCAAACCGACACAGGUGGUCAGGUAGAGAAUACCAAGGCGCUUGAGAGAACUCGGGUGAAGGAACUAGGCAAAAUGGUGCCGUAACUUCGGGAGAAGGCACGCUGAUAUGUAGGUGAAGUCCCUUGCGGAUGGAGCUGAAAUCAGUCGAAGAUACCAGCUGGCUGCAACUGUUUAUUAAAAACACAGCACUGUGCAAACACGAAAGUGGACGUAUACGGUGUGACGCCUGCCCGGUGCCGGAAGGUUAAUUGAUGGGGUUAGCGGUAACGCGAAGCUCUUGAUCGAAGCCCCGGUAAACGGCGGCCGUAACUAUAACGGUCCUAAGGUAGCGAAAUUCCUUGUCGGGUAAGUUCCGACCUGCACGAAUGGCGUAAUGAUGGCCAGGCUGUCUCCACCCGAGACUCAGUGAAAUUGAACUCGCUGUGAAGAUGCAGUGUACCCGCGGCAAGACGGAAAGACCCCGUGAACCUUUACUAUAGCUUGACACUGAACAUUGAGCCUUGAUGUGUAGGAUAGGUGGGAGGCUUUGAAGUGUGGACGCCAGUCUGCAUGGAGCCGACCUUGAAAUACCACCCUUUAAUGUUUGAUGUUCUAACGUUGGCCCCUGAUCGGGGUUGCGGACAGUGUCUGGUGGGUAGUUUGACUGGGGCGGUCUCCUCCUAAAGAGUAACGGAGGAGCACGAAGGUUGGCUAAUCCUGGUCGGACAUCAGGAGGUUAGUGCAAUGGCAUAAGCCAGCUUGACUGCGAGCGUGACGGCGCGAGCAGGUGCGAAAGCAGGUCAUAGUGAUCCGGUGGUUCUGAAUGGAAGGGCCAUCGCUCAACGGAUAAAAGGUACUCCGGGGAUAACAGGCUGAUACCGCCCAAGAGUUCAUAUCGACGGCGGUGUUUGGCACCUCGAUGUCGGCUCAUCACAUCCUGGGGCUGAAGUAGGUCCCAAGGGUAUGGCUGUUCGCCAUUUAAAGUGGUACGCGAGCUGGGUUUAGAACGUCGUGAGACAGUUCGGUCCCUAUCUGCCGUGGGCGCUGGAGAACUGAGGGGGGCUGCUCCUAGUACGAGAGGACCGGAGUGGACGCAUCACUGGUGUUCGGGUUGUCAUGCCAAUGGCACUGCCCGGUAGCUAAAUGCGGAAGAGAUAAGUGCUGAAAGCAUCUAAGCACGAAACUUGCCCCGAGAUGAGUUCUCCCUGACUCCUUGAGAGUCCUGAAGGAACGUUGAAGACGACGACGUUGAUAGGCCGGGUGUGUAAGCGCAGCGAUGCGUUGAGCUAACCGGUACUAAUGAACCGUGAGGCUUAACCUUACAAC
rnacentral:rRNA from 1 species